rnacentral:misc_RNA from 1 species
AAUACCGGAACAAAAAAAAAAACAAAAUCGAAAAAGAAAAAGAAAAAGAAAAAGAAGAGAGAGAAAAAAAUAAUACAAGCGAUAUUGAAAAUGGCACGUUUUGUACUAUAAUGAAAUGAGAAAACACCAAAGACGAAUGCAAAACAAAAAUGCAAACACAAAACAAAAAAUAUACAAGAAAUAUUCUUAAAAGAAAUACCAUAAAUUGUGCGCUGGCGACGACGGUUGUUUGAAAGAGAGAAAGAAAGCAAAGGACAUGCCGCUUGAAAUGCCGAUCGUUAGCGAGUCCUUUCGUCUCGCAAGUCGUCGGCAUUUCAAUCGAGCGGAGAAUCGGGAGAUAUUAUAUACAUAUAGAACACGUAACGCUGGCGUUACUGGGCAAACAGUUAGGCAUUUUUUUUUUUUUUUGGAAAUUUAUACAAUUACAUAUACAAAAAGCUCACCCACAACAACAAGGACAACUACAGAAGAAACAAACACACACAUACAUGGCAACACUAACGAGUACACGGACAGCGAUUUGCCGGAUCAAAAUUCUGGGGAUUUCGAUAAACGAACCGAGAAAGGAAACGGAAAUUAGAACGCGGAAAGUUAUCGGCAAGUUAUUUACCACGGAAACUGAUCGGGUGUACUAUAGUACCAAAUAGGGCUUACCCAGGCUGAUUCACCCAAAAUAAUAAAUAUAUACAUGUAUGUAGUAACGAGCUGGCUUUUGUUGUUUAGUUAUGUAUUGUUUCGGUUAUGUUUUGCCUCUCUCAGAAUUACCAUAUGCAUAUAUAUAUAUAUAUGUAUAUUCUAUGUAUAUAUAUGUAGUUAUGUAUGUGAAAAGCGUAAUCAUUUAUGAAACCAAUGAAAAUCUAACCUGAAAACAAAGAGAAAACCCCAAGUCAAAUACAUAAUUGCAUGCAAGAGUAAGUAAUAUUAAUGAAAUCUAAGAACAAAGGUCACUCCCUGGCUUUAAAAAAAGGCCGCAUGGCAAAUGAUAAAUGGUAAAAAAAAAAUGAGAAGGUGGCAUUAUGAACAGAUUUGAAUGAUUACGGAAUACAGACUAAAAAUGAAAAUGAAAAAUUAAAAAAUCCAAAUAAAUGAAAAGAUAAUAUUUAAAAAUAUUCCAGUUGCUUUAUUUAUGCGAGGGCGGUUCUAAAAUUCGGAAUUCUAGCCUUUUGAAUGUUGUUGGGGAAUAUAGUUUACUAAGCUUUUUUUAGUUCAUUUUUAAAGUUUAGCGCGGCCCAAAAGCAUGCAAUAGAUUUGCUGCAGCGCAAAAGUAUGCUGCAAAUUGAGCAGCGAAAAUCAUACUCCCAGCGACAGGUGGCGCUUUAUGCGUGGUUGUGUAGAAUGUAUGUAUAAAUUUAUACUUUCUACUUUAAAAAACAGUCACAGCAAACGGUCUUCAUUUUUUGUUUAGUUUUAACAAACAGCAAUCUUUUGCAAUCUUGCCAUUUCUCUUACUUAAAUACAAUUUAAAAUCAUGUAUUAUAUAAUUAUGGAAUUUAUGCCAAACCAUGCUUGUUGCGUUGGUUCGUUUAGUGCCCACAUUUGCCACUUGCAAUGCAACCCUUGAUCUCACGUUGCCGCCUGACUUUGACAGACAACACUGUCAAUUUCCUCUUGCCAUAAUUUUUGGCACUUUAUGUGCUAGCAGAUAAGACAUGCACACUCCAUAAGUAUGCAUCCCCGAUCUUUUUUGGGUUUCUUCACUUCUGCGUUUUCUUGAUUUUUGGGCUGCUCUUUCAAGUGUUUAGCGUUAAUCGCUUCCUCUGACCUCCGCCUAUUGAUAUGCGUUAGUGCUUGUCGGCCGGAACGUUUAUCCUUUUUUUCCCAUUUUUUUUCUAAAAAUGUUUCACGUCGCUUUUGCCACUUCACUGGAGGAUCUCCAUGUCCCUUUACCCCCGCCUCUUGCACAAAUCUCUUCAAUACCAGGGCCAUCCGUUUGUCUCUCCGUAUCUUUUUCCAUGCCGUAAAAAAUCGGAAUCGAGCCCAAGAAACUCUCAUCAGUAGGGGGUCGUGGCUGCUGAUUGGAGAUUUUCCACAGCUGUGUUUCGUAUUUGCAAGGACACGAGUCAAAAUCCUGGUGGAAACUCAAUAGGGAGUACUCAAGAGUACUCAAUCCCCGAGGACAAUCAAUCAAGAGACCAGCAGAUCGAUCAUUUUGCUUAAAUUGGAUUAUUUUAAUUCUUAUCUAUCAAGCAAUCGCAAGAUGUUUCGCGUGUACAAGAAUCUAACAAUCUACCCCCAUCCAUUUAACGGCAUUAUUUCGCUCAGUGUGACCAUACAUAUCUCGACGAGUGUGCAGAGGGAAAAGGACGAGUGCGAGAGCCAGGACAACCCACUCAAGACCAGUUCCUACCUUCCUACCUUCCUACCUGGGGUGUCGCCUUACUUGAGUUGUCAGGACGGGUGUUACAUCGAGAAAAACCCAAUUCCAAUGGCAAUCCCCGUUCCAACAAAUGUUGCGGUCAUCUUCAGCGAAGUGUGACCUUAAUUAGCAGCCUGAUAUGUACAGAGAAUAUUCAGAAUCUCAAGGGGCCUCACCGCAGGACAUCGGGCGGCUUAAGCUGCUGCGAUCUGCCCUCCAGCAUUUUGCAAUCACUGGGAAUAUGGUUAGGAAAAUAAAAAACACCUAAUAUGUUUGU